rnacentral:rRNA from 1 species
UACGGAGGAGGCAAGCGUUAUCCGGAAUUAUUGGGCGUAAAGCGUCCGUAGGUGGCUCUUCAAGUCUGCUGUCAAAGAGUGGGGCUUAACUCCAGAAAGGCAGUGGAAACUGAAAGGCUAGAGAUCCGUAGGGGUAGGGGGAAUUCCCGGUGUAGCGGUGAAAUGCGUAGAGAUCGGGAAGAACGCCAAGGGCGAAGGCACUCUGCUAGGCCUGAUUUCGCGACUGACACUCAGGGACGAGAGCCAGGGGAGCGAAUGGG